UACAGAGGGUGCGAGCGUUAAUCGGAAUUACUGGGCGUAAAGCGUGCGUAGACGGUUAUUUAAGUCGGGUGUGAAAGCCCCGGGCUCAACCUGGGAAUUGCAUUCGAGACUGAAUAGCUAGGGUACGGUAGAGGGAAGUGGAAUUUCCGGUGUAGCGGUGAAAUGCGUAGAGAUGUGGAGGAACACCAAUGGCGAAGGCAGCCUUCUGGGCCAACACUGACGCUCAUGCACGAAAGCGUGGGGAGCAAACAGG
rnacentral:rRNA from 1 species